rnacentral:rRNA from 1 species
GGCUCAGGAUGAACGCUAGCGGCAGGCUUAACACAUGCAAGUCGAGGGGUAGAGGUUGCUUGCAACCUUGAGACCGGCGCACGGGUGCGUAACGCGUAUGCAACCUACCUUUACAGAGGGAUAGCCCAGAGAAAUUUGGAUUAAUACCUCAUGGUAUAUAUCAUUCGCAUGUUUGGUAUAUUAAAGUUCCAACGGUAAAAGAUGGGCAUGCGUCCUAUUAGCUAGAUGGUAAGGUAACGGCUUACCAUGGCAACGAUAGGUAGGGGUCCUGAGAGGGAGAUCCCCCACACUGGUACUGAGACACGGACCAGACUCCUACGGGAGGCAGCAGUGAGGAAUAUUGGACAAUGGGCGCAAGCCUGAUCCAGCCAUGCCGCGUGCAGGAAGAAGCAUCUAUGGUGUGUAAACUGCUUUUGUACGGGAAGAAACACUCCUUCGUGAAGGAGCUUGACGGUACCGUAAGAAUAAGGAUCGGCUAACUCCGUG